rnacentral:rRNA from 1 species
CCUACGGGAGGCAGCAGUGAGGAAUAUUGGUCAAUGGGCGCGAGCCUGAACCAGCCAAGUCACGUGAGGGAAGACGGUCCUAUGGAUUGUAAACCUCUUUUGUCGGGGAGCAAAAGACGCCACGCGUGGCGUUCCGAGAGUACCCGAAGAAAAAGCAUCGGCUAACUCCGUGCCAGCAGCCGCGGUAAUACGUAGGGGGCGAGCGUUAUCCGGAUUCACUGGGUGUAAAGGGAGCGUAGACGGCCAUGCAAGCCAGGGGUGAAAGCCCGGGGCCCAACCCCGGGACUGCCCUUGGAACUGCAUGGCUGGAGUGCGGGAGGGGCAGGCGGAAUUCCUGGUGUAGCGGUGAAAUGCGUAGAUAUCAGGAGGAACACCGAUUGCGAAGGCAGCUUACCAAGCUACUUCUGACGUUGAGGCACGAAAGCGUGGGGAGCAAACAGGAUUAGAUACCCGAGUAGUC